UAUUCAUCAGCUACUUAUCCACUCUCCUUUUUCUUCCCAGUCUUCUAGGUGUCAGUUUUCUAGUCCUGGAAUCAGGGACCUCAAGUAACAUUUCAUCCUCUAGUUUCCCUGAAAAUCUUUAGCUACACAUUGAAGUUACUGGAUGUACGUUCUGGCACAGUAACCAUAUAUAAACUUCUCAUGGAGAUCGGCUGGGACCUCCUGGAAGAAAUCUCAUUUAAAACAACUGGAAAUGACUUACCUUGGCCCAAGUCACAGCAUAACAGCCACCUCCUCCUCCUCCAGCCCUGCUAAACCAUCUGCCUCCUGCCUUCCUUCACAAGACCCUCUUACAUUUCUUUAGGAUUCAGGAGCUUGUACUAAUUU
rnacentral:lncRNA from 1 species